rnacentral:misc_RNA from 1 species
CCAAUAGCGUAUAUUAAAGUUGUUGCAGUUAAAAAGCUCGUAGUUGAAUUUCGGGAUUGGCGCAUCGGUCGUGCCUCACGGGGUAUGAACUGGUGCAGUCAAUUUCUCACCUUCUGGAGAACCGCGAUGUCCUUAAUUGGGUGCCGCGGGGAACCAGGACCUUUACUUUGAAAAAAUUAGAGUGUUUAAAGCAGGCAUUUUUGCUUGAAUACAUUAGCAUGGAAUAAUAAAAUAGGACGGCAUGGUUCUAUUUUGUUGGUUUCUAGGACCACCGUAAUGAUUAAUAGGGAUAGUUGAGGGCAUUAGUAUUCAAUUGUCAGAGGUGAAAUUCUUGGAUUUAUUGAAGACUAACUACUGCGAAAGCAUUUGCCAAGGAUGUUUUCAUUAAUCAAGAACGAAAGUUAGGGGAUCGAAGACGAUCAGAUACCGUCGUAGUCUUAACCAUAAACUAUGCCGACUAGGAAUCAGACGAUGUUAAUUUUUUAAUGACUCGUUUGGCACCUUACG